rnacentral:rRNA from 1 species
ACGUACACUCCUACGGGAGGCAGCAGUGGGGAAUAUUGGACAAUGGGCGCAAGCCUGAUCCAGCCAUGCCGCGUGAGUGAUGAAGGCCCUAGGGUUGUAAAGCUCUUUCACCGGUGAAGAUAAUGACGGUAACCGGAGAAGAAGCCCCGGCUAACUUCGUGCCAGCAGCCGCGGUAAUACGAAGGGGGCUAGCGUUGUUCGGAUUUACUGGGCGUAAAGCGCACGUAGGCGGACUAUUAAGUCAGGGGUGAAAUCCCGGGGCUCAACCCCGGAACUGCCUUUGAUACUGGUAGUCUUGAGUUCGGGAGAGGUGAGUGGAAUUCCGAGUGUAGAGGUGAAAUUCGUAGAUAUUCGGAGGAACACCAGUGGCGAAGGCGGCUCACUGGCUCGAUACUGACGCUGAGGUGCGAAAGCGUGGGGAGCAAACAGGAUUAGAAACCCUUGUAGUCCCAU